UAAUAUUUUUUUGGAAAGUAAUUUUCAUUUAAAUUUUUAUUAAAGGUUAAAAAAAAGAAAAAAAAAUUAAGGUAGUAUUAUUCAGGUAAAUUCGCAGAAAUAAAAAAAACCACUCACACUUUCGCUCCAAUACAAACUGCUUCUCCUUCACGUCUUCACUGCUCCUCCUUUUCCUUCACCUCUCAAUUAAGCAAGUACUCUAUCAUAACGACGAACGUCUUCUACCAGCUUCUCCCACAAAUUUUUUUGCUGAUUUUCGAAUUUUGGGUUUAGCAAUAUUGCUUCAAUUGAGGUUUAAAGGCACUUCUAGAUCAAGGAGCAUAAAUAGGGCCAUUCAACAAAGUUAAGAGAAAACUUCCUCUAUCCAAGAUGUUCGUUGCUUUGCAAGCCACAUCAUCUAAGAAGAGGAGUAGGGGGCCAUCGAAGGCAAUACAAUCAAGUAAGCCUAUGGUGCUUGAAUUCAAUGAUUUUGACUUGCCUACUGGUGAGUAGGAACCAGCUUAUGGAAAAAAAAUUGGUGCAUGUGCUAAGAGAUUAGACAGCACUGUGAAUGAGUAUACAAAAAUAGAUAAAGUGGAUAGGGAAAAUAUAUGGGAGAAGACAAAGCGAAUGUUCCACAUUGAUGAUCCAAGUGGAGAAAGGCAAAAAAGGUUUCAUGGUGCUGUGGCUUCGCGAUUCAGCUGUCACAAGUCGAAUUUAAGGGCACGAUUCAUAACUUUUAAAAACCCAUACCCGACCACUUCUCCUAAAGCAAAUAUGAAGCCAUGGGAAGUGUAUGAAGGUUACUUUACAGAGGAGAAAUGGAAGAGAUUCAAAAUCUAUAGUAAAUCAGAAGAAUUCAAGGUCGGGUCUUGCUAACUCCAACACAUGAAACCGGUUUGGUCCUCGCGUUGCGGGUGGACCAUGAAGUAGGUCUCCGUGUGAGCGGGACUUGAAGGCUUUCAAGUAAGAGCUCGUUUUAGAAGAGUGAAGCACGCUAAAAAGGGCUUAAGAGUGAGUAGAAGGCUAGCUAAAGGGGAGAUGAUGCUUGGAGUAAAAAAAUGGAGCAAUUGUUGCUGCACUUGCUAUUGGAAGCUAUGAACUCAAGCUCCCAUCUAGACUUAUUUUGGUGCUUAAAAACUGUUAUUAUGUUCUUGCGAUUACUAGAAACAUUAUUUUAGUUCCUGUUUUAGAUACUGAAGGUUUUUCAUUUGAAAUUAAAGACAAAUGUUGUUUUAUUUCAAGGAAAAAUAUGUUAUA